rnacentral:rRNA from 1 species
AGAGUUUGAUUAUGGCUCAGGAUGAACGCUAGCGGCAGGCCUAAUACAUGCAAGUCGGACGUGAUUAAUUAGCAAUAAUUAUGAAAGUGGCGCACGGGUGCGUAACGCGUAUGUAACUUACCCUUUACAGGAGUAUAGCCCGAAGAAAUUCGGAUUAAUCCUCCAUAGUAUUUAGUUGUGGCAUCAUGAUUAGAUUAAAUAUUUAUAGGUAAAGGAUAGGCAUGCGUGUCAUUAGCUAGUUGGUGAGGUAACGGCUCACCAAGGCAACGAUGACUAGGGGGUCUUAGAGGAUGAUCCCCCACACUGGUACUGAGACACGGACCAGACUCCUACGGGAGGCAGCAGUAAGGAAUAUUGGACAAUGGUGGGAACACUGAUCCAGCCAUGCCGCGUGCAGGAUGACUGCCCUAUGGGUUGUAAACUGCUUUUAUACUAGAAUAAUAGCUUUUACGUGUAGAAGUAUGAAUGUAUAGUAUGAAUAAGGAUCGGCUAACUCCGUGCCAGCAGCCGCGGUAAUACGGAGGAUCCAAGCGUUAUCCGGAUUUACUGGGUUUAAAGGGUGCGUAGGCGGAAGCUUAAGUCAGUGGUGAAAUCUCAUCGCUUAACGAUGAAACUGCCAUUGAUACUGGGCAUCUUGAAUAUGGUUAACGUUGGCGGAAUGUGUCAUGUAGUGGUGAAAUACUUAGAUAUGACACAGAACACCGAUAGCGAAGGCAGCUAACGGAACCAUUAUUGACGCUGAGGCACGAAAGCGUGGGGAUCAAACAGGAUUAGAUACCCUGGUAGUCCACGCCGUAAACGAUGAUUACUCGAUGUGUGCGAUAAACAGUACGCGUCUAAGCGAAAGUGAUAAGUAAUCCACCUGGGGAGUAUGGUCGCAAGAUUGAAACUCAAAUGAAUUGACGGGG